rnacentral:rRNA from 1 species
AUCUUCGGGAGGCAUUUCCUGGAGAUGAAGCCUACGGGGCAAAAAGAGGAGCUCGCGGCCUAUCAGCUAGUUGGCGAGGUAACGGCUCACCAAGGCUAUGACGGGUAGCUGGUCUGAGAGGAUGGCCAGCCACAUUGGGACUGAGAUACGGCCCAGACUCCUACGGGAGGCAGCAGUGGGGAAUAUUGCGCAAUGGUCUAACGACUGACGCAGCGACGCCGCGUGAGGGAUGAAGCUCUUCGGAGUGUAAACCUCUGUUGCCAGGGACGAACAGCUGAAUUCAUUCAGCCUGACGGUACCUGGUGAGGAAGCACCGGCUAACUCCGUGCCAGCAGCCGCGGUAAUACGGGGGGUGCGAGCGUUGUCCGGAAUCACUGGGCGUAAAGGGCGCGUAGGUGGCCUGAUAAGGGUGUGGUGAAAGUCCGGGGCUUAACCCCGGAUCUGCCGUGCCGACUGUUAGGCUAGAGUGCUGUGGGGGCAGGCGGAAUUCCGGGUGUAGCGGUGGAAUGCGUAGAGAUCCGGAGGAAGACCGGUGGCGAAGGCGGCCUGCUGGGCAGAUACUGACACUGAGGCGCGACAGCGUGGGGAGCAAACAGGAUUGGAUACCCUGGUAGUCCACGCCGUAAACGAUGGGUACUAGGUGCCUGGGGGAGCGACCCCUUGGGUGCCGGCGCUAACGCAGGAAGUACCCCGCCUGGGGAGUACGACCGCAAGGUUGAAACUCAAAGG